rnacentral:misc_RNA from 1 species
GAUGAAGAACGUAGCGAAAUGCGAUACGUAGUGUGAAUUGCAGAAUUCAGUGAAUCAUCGAAUCUUUGAACGCACAUUGCGCCCUUUGGUAUUCCAAAGGGCAUGCCUGUUCGAGCGUCAUUUGUACCCUCAAGCUUUGCUUGGUGUUGGGCGUUUUUUGUCUUUGGAUGCCAAAGACUCGCCUUAAAACGAUUGGCAGCCGGCCUCCUGGUUUCGCAGCGCAGCACAUUUUUGCGCUUGCAAUCAGCAACAGAGGGCGGCACUCCAUCAAGACUCCAUUUUCACGUUUGACCUCGGAUCAGGUAGGGAUACCCGCUGAACUUAAGCAUAUCAAUAAGCGGAGGA